CUGAAACCGUGUGCCUACAACCGCUCAGAGCCCCUUAUGAGGGUGAUGAGGUGCUUUUUGUAGAACGAGCCAACGAGUUACGGUAUGUAGCAAGGUUAAGUACUUAAGGUACGGAGCCGAAGGGAAACCGAGUCUGAAUAGGGCGACUAGUUGCAUGCCGUAGACCCGAAACCGGGUGACCUAUCCAUGGCCAGGUUGAAGCGAGGGUAAAACCUCGUGGAGGACCGAACCACGUUGCUGUUGAAAAAGCAUGGGAUGAGCUGUGGAUAGCGGAGAAAUUCCAAUCGAACCCGGAGAUAGCUGGUUCUCUCCGAAAUAGCUUUAGGGCUAGCGUCGAGUAUGAGUAGUGGAGGUAGAGCACUGAAUGGGCUAGGGGGCAUAGCGCUUACCGAACCUUAUCAAACUCCGAAUGCCACAUACUUUGAGCUCGGCAGUCAGACUACGAAUGAUAAGAUCCGUGGUCAAAAGGGAAACAGCCCAGAUCGUCAGCUAAGGUCCCAAAGUGUAAGUUAAGUGGGAAAGGAUGUGAGAUUUCUAAGACAACUAGGAUGUUGGCUUAGAAGCAGCCAUUCAUUAAAAGAGUGCGUAAUAGCUCACUAGUCGAGAGAUCUUGCGCCGAAAAUGUAACGGGGCUAAACUUACC
rnacentral:rRNA from 1 species